AUUGAACGCUGGCGGCAUGCUUUACACAUGCAAGUCGAACGGUAACAGGUCUUCGGAUGCUGACGAGUGGCGAACGGGUGAGUAAUGCAUCGGAACGUGCCCAGUCGUGGGGGAUAACGCAGCGAAAGCUGCGCUAAUACCGCAUACGAUCUAUGGAUGAAAGCGGGGGACCGUAAGGCCUCGCGCGAUUGGAGCGGCCGAUGUCAGAUUAGGUAGUUGGUGGGGUAAAGGCCCACCAAGCCAACGAUCUGUAGCUGGUCUGAGAGGACGACCAGCCACACUGGGACUGAGACACGGCCCAGACUCCUACGGGAGGCAGCAGUGGGGAAUUUUGGACAAUGGGCGCAAGCCUGAUCCAGCAAUGCCGCGUGCAGGAAGAAGGCCUUCGGGUUGUAAACUGCUUUUGUACGGAACGAAACGGCUCUCUCUAAUACAGAGGGCUAAUGACGGUACCGUAAGAAUAAGCACCGGCUAACUACGUGCCAGCCGCCGCAGUAACAC
rnacentral:rRNA from 1 species